rnacentral:rRNA from 1 species
UACAGAGGUCACAAGCGUUGUUCGGAUUCACUGGGCGUAAAGGGUGCGUAGGCGGUCGGGUAAGUCUGAUGUGAAAUCUCACAGCUUAACUGUGAAACUGCAUUGGAUACUAUCCGGCUAGAGGAAUGGAGGGGAGACUGGAAUACUUGGUGUAGCAGUGAAAUGCGUAGAUAUCAAGUGGAACACCAGUGGCGAAGGCGAGUCUCUGGACAUUUCCUGACGCUGAGGCACGAAAGCCAGGGGAGCAAACGGG